rnacentral:rRNA from 1 species
AUUGAACGCUGGCGGCGUGCCUAACACAUGCAAGUCGAGCGGUAACAGGCGUAGCAAUACGUGCUGACGAGCGGCGAACGGGUGAGUAAUGCUUCGGAAUCUGCCCAAUGGUGGGGAAUAACCAGCCGAAAGGUUGGCUAAUACCGCAUAAGUCCUACGGGAGAAAGCAGGGGAUCGCAAGACCUUGCGCCGAUGGAUGAGCCGAAGCCGGAUUAGCUAGUUGGUAGGGUAACGGCCUACCAAGGCGACGAUCCGUAGCUGGUCUGAGAGGACGACCAGCCACACUGGGACUGAGACACGGCCCAGACUCCUACGGGAGGCAGCAGUGGGGAAUAUUGGACAAUGGGGGAAACCCUGAUCCAGCGACGCCGCGUGUGUGAAGAAGGCCUUUUGGUAGUAAAGCACUUUAAGCGAGGAGGAGGCUCCUUUAGUUAAUACCUAAAGAGAGUGGACGUUACUCGCAGAAUAAGCACCGGCUAACUCUGUGCCAGCAGCCGCCGUAA